UACGUAGGCAGCGAGCGUUGUUCGGAGUUACUGGGCGUAAAGCGUGCGUAGGCGGUUGUCUAAGUUUGGUGUGAAAUCUCCCGGCUUAACUGGGAGGGUGCGCCGAAAACGUGGGUGACUGGAGUGUCGGAGAGGUAAGCGGAAUUCCUGGUGUAGCGGUGAAAUGCGUUGAGAUCGGAAGGAACGCCCGUGGCGAAAGCGAGGUCCUGGACGUUUACUGACGCUGAGACGCGAAAGCCAGGGGAGCGAACGGG
rnacentral:rRNA from 1 species